rnacentral:rRNA from 1 species
AACGCGAAGAACCUUACCUGGGCUUGAACCGCACAGGAUCAUCUUUGGAAACAGAGACUUCCCGCAAGGGACCUGUGUAGAGGUGCUGCAUGGCUGUCGUCAGCUCGUGCCGUGAGAUGUUGGGUUAAGUCCCGCAACGAGCGCAACCCCCGUUGUUAGUUGCCAUCAGGUAAAGCUGGGCACUCUAGCGAGACUGCCGGUGACAAACCGGAGGAAGGUGGGGACGACGUCAAGUCAUCAUGCCCCUUAUGCCCUGGGCUACACACGUGUUACAAUGGUCGGGACAAUGCGAUGCAAACUAGCGAUAGUGAGCGAACCGCAAAACCCGGCCUCAGUUCAGAUCGUAGGCUGAAACUCGCCUGCGUGAAGUCGGAAUCGCUAGUAACCGCCGAUCAGCACGCGGCGGUGAAUACGUUCCCGGGCCUUGUACACACCGCUACAGU